rnacentral:rRNA from 1 species
AUUGAACGCUGGCGGCAUGAUUUACACAUGCAAGUCGAACGGUAACAGGCCGCAAGGUGCUGACGAGUGGCGAACGGGUGAGUAAUGCAUCGGAACGUGCCCAGUCGUGGGGGAUAACUACUCGAAAGAGUAGCUAAUACCGCAUACGAUCUAUGGAUGAAAGCGGGGGACCGUAAGGCCUCGCGCGAUUGGAGCGGCCGAUGUCAGAUUAGGUAGGUGGUGGGGUAAAGGCUCACCAAGCCAACGAUCUGUAGCUGGUCUGAGAGGACGACCAGCCACCCUGGGACUGAGACACGGCCCAGACUCCUACGGGAGGCAGCAGUGGGGAAUUUUGGACAAUGGGCGCAAGCCUGAUCCAGCAAUGCCGCGUGCAGGAAGAAGGCCUUCGGGUUGUAAACUGCUUUUGUACGGAACGAAACGGCUCUGGUUAAUACCCGGGGCUAAUGACGGUACCGUAAGAAUAAGCACCGGCUAACUACGUG